AAACAUUAAUUGGUUGUUUUAAGGGGUUAGGAUUCAAUACGGAGAAGAUUAGCAUGACCCUGUGCAAGGAUGACACACAAAUUCAUGAAGCAUUCCGUAUUUUU
rnacentral:snRNA from 1 species